rnacentral:rRNA from 1 species
GCUACGGGGGGCUGCAGUGAGGAAUAUUGGUCAAUGGCCGGAAGGCUGAACCAGCCAAGCCGCGUGAAGGACGAAGGUGCCAAGCAUUGUAAACUUCUUUUGUCAAGGGACAAAAUCAGGCUCGAGAGCCUGACCGAGGGUACUUGAAGAAAAAGCAUCGGCUCACUCGGCGCCAGCGGCCGCGGUAAUAGGGAGGAUGCGAGGUUUCGCCGGAUUUUUUGGGUUUAAAGGGUUCGUAGGCGGACGGUUAAGUCAGCGGUAAAAGCCGGGGCUCAACCCCGGCGAGCCGUUGAAACUGGCUGUCUGGAGAUGUCGAGAGGUAUGCGGAAUGCGCAGUGUAGCGGUGAAAUGCUUAGAUAUUGGGCAGAACUCCGGUUGCGAAGGCGGCAUACCGGCGGCGAUCUGACGCUGAGGCACGAAAGCGUGGGUAGCGAACAGGAUUAGAUACCCCAGUAGUC